rnacentral:rRNA from 1 species
AACGGCUACCACAUCCAAGGAAGGCAGCAGGCGCGCAAUUACCCACUCCCGGCAAGGGGAGGUAGUGACGAAAAAUAAUGAUGCGGGACUCUUUUGAGGCUCUGUAAUCGAAAUGAGAGGACUCUAAAUACUAUAUCGAGGAUCCAUUGGAGGGCAAGUCUGGUGCCAGCAGCCGCGGUAAUUCCAGCUCCAAUAGCGUAUAUUAAAGUUGUUGCGGUUAAAAAGCUCGUAGUUGGAUCUCAGUUCGAGACUGGCGGUCCGCCGUUCGGUGGCUACUGCUUGGACUCAACAUCUUGCCGGUUUUCCCCUGGUGCUCUUUACUGAGUGUCUCGGGUGCCCGGCACGUUUACUUUGAAAAAAUUAGAGUGCUCAAAGCAGGCGUUUAGCCUGAAUAAUGGUGCAUGGAAUAAUGUAAUAGGAUCUCGGUUCUAUUGUGUUGGUUUUCGGAACACGAGGUAAUGAUUAAAAGGGACGGACGGGGGCAUUCGUAUUGCGACGCUAGAGGUGAAAUUCUUGGACCGUCGCAAGACGAACUACUGCGAAAGCAUUUGCCAAGAACGUUUUCAUUAAUCAAGAACGAAAGUUAGAGGUUCGAAGGCGAUCAGAUACCGCCCUAGUUCUAACCAUAAACGAUGCCAACCAGCAAUCCGCCUGAGUUCCUCAAAUGACUCGGCGGGCAGCUUCCGGGAAACCAAAGUGUUUGGGUUCCGGGGGAAGUAUGGUUGCAAAGCUGAAACUUAAAGGAAUUGACGGAAGGGCACCACCAGGAGUGGAGCCUGCGGCUUAAUUUGACUCAACACGGGAAAACUUACCCGGCCCGGACACCGGAAGGAUUGACAGAUUAAGAGCUCUUUCUUGAUUCGGUGGGUGGUGGUGCAUGGCCGUUCUUAGUUGGUGGAGCGAUUUGUCUGGUUAAUUCCGAUAACGAACGAGACUCUAGCCUACUUAAUAGAGAACCGAUUUCCUCUCGUCGGUUACUCUUCUUAGAGGGACAAGCGGCGUUUAGCCGCACGAGACAGAGCAAUAACAGGUCUGUGAUGCCCUUAGAUGUCCGGGGCCGCACGCGCGCUACACUGAAGGAAUCAGCGUGUGUUCACCCUGGCCGAAAGGCCUGGGUAACCCGUUGAACCUCCUUCGUGAUAGGGAUAGGGGCUUGUAACUAUUCCCCUUGAACGAGGAAUUCCCAGUAAGCGCGAGUCAUAAGCUCGCGUUGAUUACGUCCCUGCCCUUUGUACACACCGCCCGUCGCUACUACCGAUUGAAUGAUUUAGUGAGGUCUUCGGACUGGUGCUCGGAGCGGCUCUCGGGUCGCGCCGGCGUACCGGAAAGAUGACCAAACUUGAUCAUUUAGAGGAAGUAAAAGUCGUAACAAGGUUUCC